rnacentral:rRNA from 1 species
GAUUGAACGCUGGCGGCAGGCCUAACCCAUGCAAGUCGAACGGUAACAGGAAGAAGCUUGCUUCUUUGCUGACGAGUGGCGGACGGGUGAGUAAUGUCUGGGAAACUGCCUGAUGGAGGGGGAUAACUACUGGAAACGGUAGCUAAUACCGCAUAACGUCGCAAGACCAAAGAGGGGGACCUUCGGGCCUCUUGCCAUCGGAUGUGCCCAGAUGGGAUUAGCUAGUAGGUGGGGUAACGGCUCACCUAGGCGACGAUCCCUAGCUGGUCUGAGAGGAUGACCAGCCACACUGGAACUGAGACACGGUCCAGACUCCUACGGGAGGCAGCAGUGGGGAAUAUUGCACAAUGGGCGCAAGCCUGAUGCAGCCAUGCCGCGUGUAUGAAGAAGGCCUUCGGGUUGUAAAGUACUUUCAGCGGGGAGGAAGGGAGUAAAGUUAAUACCUUGACUCAUUGACGUUACCCGCAGAAGAAGCACCGGCUAACUCCGUG